AUACCUUCAUCUUCACUUAACCCCUUCUUAACAAAGAGCAAUUCUAUAUCUCUAUAGAAAAUUUUAUGUUAAAACUAGUAAUAAGAAGCUAGCCCUUCUCUUUAAUGCAAACUUACAUCAGCCAGGACACCCCACUGAUUAUUAACGUCCCUAAAACCAUUGUAAUAACUAAUCAAGAAAAUAUUACCUUCUCCUACGUUAACCUAACACAAGAGCAUUUUAAGAAAGAUUAAAAGAAAAAGAAGGAACUCGGCAAAUUUUAGCCUCGCCUGUUUACCAAAAACAUCGCCUCUUGAGUACUAAUAAGAGGUCAUGCCUGCCCAGUGACUCUGUUCAACGGCCGCGGUAUCCUAACCGUGCGAAGGUAGCGUAAUCACUUGUUCUUUAAAUGAGGACUAGUAUGAAUGGCCCCACGAAGGCUACACUGUCUCCUUUUUCUAAUCAAUGAAACUAAUCUUCUCGUGAAGAAGCGAGAAUAAUUUUAUAAGACGAGAAGACCCUAUGGAGCUUUAAACAACUGAAAUAUUUGCUUUAACUUUAUAUUCUUCCCGAGUUUUUCCUGCAUUCAAGCAUUUUAAUUUCUAGUUUUAGGUUGGGGUGACCACGGAGCAAAAUUUAACCUCCAUGACGAAUUAAGCAUUUUCCUUUAAACUAAAAGCUACUACUUUAAGCAUCAACAAAUUGACUUUCAUUGACCCAAUAUUUUGAUCAACGAACCAAGUUACCCUAGGGAUAACAGCGCAAUCUACUUCGAGAGCUCAUAUCGACAAGUAGGUUUACGACCUCGAUGUUGGAUCAGGGUAUCCCAGUGGUGCAGCCGCUACUAAAGGUUCGUUUGUUCAACGAUUAAAACC
rnacentral:rRNA from 1 species